GGGCCUAUAGCAUAACUUGGAUAUGCUUUCAACGAGCACUAUAAAGUGCGGCUGGCUUCGGACCAGUUGAUGGGGGUUCAAAUCCUCCUAGGCCCG
rnacentral:tRNA from 1 species